GACGAACGCUGGCGGCGUGCCUAAUACAUGCAAGUUGAGCGCUGAAGGUUGGUACUUGUACCAACUGGAUGAGCAGCGAACGGGUGAGUAACGCGUGGGGAAUCUGCCUUUGAGCGGGGGACAACAUUUGGAAACGAAUGCUAAUGCCGCAUAAAAACUUUAAACACAAGUUUUAAGUUUGAAAGAUGCAAUUGCAUCACUCAAAGAUGAUCCCGCGUUGUAUUAGCUAGUUGGUGAGGUAAAGGCUCACCAAGGCGAUGAUACAUAGCCGACCUGAGAGGGUGAUCGGCCAAAUUGGGACUGAGAAACGGCCCAAACUCCUACGGGAGGCAGCAGUAGGGAAUCUUCGGACAUGGACGAAAGUCUGACCGAGCAACGCCGCGUGAGUGAAGAAGGGUUUCGGAUCGUAAAACUCUGUUGGUAGAGAAGAACGUUGGUGAGAGUGGAAAGCUCAUCAAGUGACGGUAACUACCCAGAAAGGGACGGCUAACUACGUG
rnacentral:rRNA from 1 species